GACGAACGCUGGCGGCGUGCUUAACACAUGCAAGUCGAGCGGUAAGGCCCCUUCGGGGUACGACGAGCGGCGAACGGGUGAGUAACACGUGGGUGACCUGCCCUCAGCUCUGGGAUAAGCCCGGGAAACUGGGUCUAAUACCGGAUAUGACUCCAUGACGCAUGUUGUGGGGUGGAAAGACCUUGUGCGGCUGAGGAUGGGCCCGCGGCCUAUCAGCUUGUUGGUGGGGUGAUGGCCUACCAAGGCGACGACGGGUAGCCGGCCUGAGAGGGCGACCGGCCACACUGGGACUGAGACACGGCCCAGACUCCUACGGGAGGGCAGCAGUGGGGAAUCUUGCGCAAUGGGCGAAAGCCUGACGCAGCGACGCCGCGUGAGGGAUGAC
rnacentral:rRNA from 1 species